UUGUGCCUGAAAUUGGGCUUGAAAUUGUUCAGGUUUUAGAUACUGAUUGUGUAAUAGGAUUGUGUAUAGAUGGAAUUAGAAAUGAUUGUAAUUUUGAACAUAUUUGUUUCAGGAAUGAAUAGGAAGUUUGAAGGUUAUUGGUUAGCUUGGGAAUUUCGGCUUGGAUGCGGCUACGAAGCGCAUUGGAUGGCAGGGCUGUUUUGGAAUUCUUA
rnacentral:lncRNA from 1 species